CCCUGAGGUCCUGGUGGCCACUUGCCAUGCUGCCAUUCUCUGUGCACACCUUGGAGUUGAUGAAAGUCAGAACAGAAGGUGGCUUAAAGCAAACCCCUAGAGGUCCCUUUUCCCUAACCACACCAAGCUCAAAGCUGAUCUGACUCUGCUCACGUUGGUGCCACCUUCUGAGACUGUCUAAGGGGAGCAAUGGCAGGGGACUCCAGUAUCAUCCCUUUCUCUGUCCGAUUCUGAUACCAAAUGAAGACCACUUCAGCCCAAUGUGCUCCCCGUUCUCUGAGUGCUUUCCGCCAUUCCCUGGGGAUGAAGAAGGGGUGAGUUGCCUCCCCUCUCCGCCACACUUGUCUCUGAAGGAGCAGCAGGCCUCACACCUCUGCUGUCUUAGAGUGGAGAGGAGGCCUCUGGUGGGUGGACCUCCUUCUCCUCACACCUUCCUCAUCCAGAUGCACCGUGAUCCUACCCUCUAAGUCUGAUGAAUCCCUUCCAUUGUUUUUCCCAGUUUUUAAAAGUAAUUAUUGUUUUUUAGAUAGUGUCAAUUCACAUGCAACUGUAAGCAGUAAUACAGAGAUCUUUACCCAUGUCCCUCCGUGGGAACACCUUGAAGAACUGUAGGGACAGUAUCACCAGCAGGUUAUCGCCAAUGAUCUGAUCCACAUAUAGAAGACUGCAGUCACCAUAAGGGUCCCCUGUUGUCUUAGUCUAUUUUCUGUUGCUAUAAAGAAAUCCUGAGGCCAGGCAAUCAACGAAAAAUAGAAGUUUGUUUUGUCCCCAGCUCUGGAGGCAAUGGCACUAGCACCUGCUUGGCAUCUGGUGAGGGUCUUUUUCCUGCAUCAAGACAUGGCAGAAAGUUCCAUCACGGGGUGAUGGAGCAUGUAAGCUAGCUGGGGUCGCUCUUACUCUUCUUAAAAAGCCACUUCUGACAUCAUCACAGAGGCCCCACCCUUUGGACCUUCUCUACUCCUAGUCACCUGCAGAGGCCUCACCUCUGGGUAUCAUUAAGAGCAAAUGCAUUGGGGAUUCAGUUUCCCAUACAUCAACUUUUGGGAGACAGACAUUCAAACCAUAGCCCCUGUGCUUCCCUUGGUGGCCACACCGUUUAUUCCUCUGUCAUUCCUGUCCUCUCCUUUCACCUUCUUAGCCCCUGGCAACAUUUAAUCUGCUCUGCAUUCCUGUUAAUAAAGCUGCUACAAACAUCAGUGCACAGGCUGUUGUGUGAACCCCUUCUGCAGGAUGCCUUCAUCUCCCCCUAGAAGGCCAACAUCUUAGUGACCAUGGCCAAGAUGAAAUACUCAGAAAAAUAGCAACAAAAGAAAAUAACCAAAAUAGCACCCUCUGAGAUGCUAUUUUUCAAAGCUGAUUCUUAUAUACAUUCAUUUGCCUGCAUUAGAAAAUAUGAGGAAGGCAAUUUUCCAAUUGCAUAUACUAAAAAUAUCAUGUAACAAUAAUUAUAAAAAAUAAUUUUGCAUUUGGUGCUGCUGUCCAAGCAAAUAGCCAGGAAAGGGUGAAAGUCUCUGGGAAGACUGAGGUUGAUAAGUGAGAGAAGUUUGCUUUUCAUAUGUGAAAGAUUGAUACCGACUGUGUUGACCUGGCUGGUGCCCAGUGUUCAGGGAGAGCAGAGGUGCAGACAGAAAAUUUAUAACCUUGCUGGGUGCAGUGGCACACACACACACACACACACCUGCCUGCAAUCCCAGUGGUUCAGAAGGCUGAGGCAGGAGGAUUGCAAAUUCAAAGCCAGCCUCAGCAACUUAGCAAG
rnacentral:lncRNA from 1 species